rnacentral:rRNA from 1 species
GAAACUGCGAAUGGCUCAUUAAAUCAGUUAUGGUUUAUUUGAUGGUACCUUGCUACUUGGAUAACCGUAGUAAUUCUAGAGCUAAUACAUGCAGGAGUUCCCGACUCACGGAGGGAUGUAUUUAUUAGAUAAGAAACCAAACCGGUCUCCGGUUGCGUGCUGAGUCAUAAUAACUGCUCGAAUCGCACGGCUCUACGCCGGCGAUGGUUCAUUCAAAUUUCUGCCCUAUCAGCUUUCGAUGGUAGGAUAGAGGCCUACCAUGGCGUUAACGGGUAACGGAGAAUUAGGGUUCGAUUCCGGAGAGGGAGCCUGAGAAAUGGCUACCACAUCCAAGGAAGGCAGCAGGCGCGUAAAUUGCCCGAAUCCUGACACAGGGAGGUAGUGACAAGAAAUAACAAUACAGGGCUAUUUUAGUCUUGUAAUUGGAAUGAGUACAAUUUACAUCUCUUCACGAGGAUCAACUGGAGGGCAAGUCUGGUGCCAGCAGCCGCGGUAAUUCCAGCUCCAAUAGCGUAUAUUAAAGUUGUUGCAGUUAAAACGCUCGUAGUCGGAUUCGGGGCGGGCCGACCGGUCUGCCGAUGGGUAUGCACUGGCCGGCGCGUCCUUCCACCCGGAGACCGCGCCUACUCUUAACUGAGCGGGCGCGGGAGACGGGUCUUUUACUUUGAAAAAAUCAGAGUGUUUCAAGCAGGCAGUCGCUCUUGCAUGGAUUAGCAUGGGAUAAUGAAAUAGGACUCUGGUGCUAUUUUGUUGGUUUCGAACACCGGAGUAAUGAUUAACAGGGACAGUCAGGGGCACUCGUAUUCCGCCGAGAGAGGUGAAAUUCUCAGACCAGCGGAAGACGAACCACUGCGAAAGCAUUUGCCAGGGAUGUUUUCACUGAUCAAGAACGAAAGUUAGGGGAUCGAAGACGAUCAGAUACCGUCGUA